rnacentral:tRNA from 2 species
UCAAACUAUAGCAUAUAAAUAUUAAUGCCUCUUAUUUACACUAAGAAGAAAAUUAAAAUUUAGUUUGAA